rnacentral:rRNA from 1 species
AAUAUUGCACAAUGGGCGCAAGCCUGAUGCAGCCAUGCCGCGUGUGUGAAGAAGGCCUUCGGGUUGUAAAGCACUUUCAGUCGUGAGGAAGGUGGUAGUGUUAAUAGCACUAUCAUUUGACGUUAGCGACAGAAGAAGCACCGGCUAACUCCGUGCCAGCAACCGCGGUAAUACGGAGGGUGCGAGCGUUAAUCGGAAUUACUGGGCGUAAAGCGCAUGCAGGUGGUUUGUUAAGUCAGAUGUGAAAGCCCGGGGCGUCAACCUCGGAAUAGCAUUUGAAACUGGCAGACUAGAGUACUGUAGAGGGGGGUAGGAAUUUCAGGUGUAGCGGUGAAAUGCGUAGAGAUCUGAAGGAAUACCGGUGGCGAAGGCGGCCCCCUGGACAGAUACUGACACUCAGAUGCGAAAGCGUGGGGAGCAAACAGGAUUAGAUACCCUGGUAG